rnacentral:rRNA from 1 species
CCUACGGGGUGCUGCAGUGGGGAAUAUUGCACAAUGGGCGCAAGCCUGAUGCAGCCAUGCCGCGUGUGUGAAGAAGGCCUUCGGGUUGUAAAGCACUUUCAGCGGGGAGGAAGGCGGUGAGGUUAAUAACCUCAUCGAUUGACGUUACCCGCAGAAGAAGCACCGGGUAACUCCGUGCCAGCAGCCGCGGUAAUACGGAGGGUGCAAGCGUUAAUCGGAAUUACUGGGCGUAAAGCGCACGCAGGCGGUCUGUCAAGUCGGAUGUGAAAUCCCCGGGCUCAACCUGGGAACUGCAUUCGAAACUGGCAGGCUAGAGUCUUGUAGAGGGGGGUAGAAUUCCAGGUGUAGCGGUGAAAUGCGUAGAGAUCUGGAGGAAUACCGGUGGCGAAGGCGGCCGCCUGGACAAAGACUGACGCUCAGGUGCGAAAGCGUGGGGAGCAAACAGGAUUAGAUACCCUAGUAGUC